rnacentral:rRNA from 1 species
UGGGGAAUUUUGCACAAUGGGCGGAAGCCUGAUGCAGCGACGCCGCGUGGAGGAUGAAGGCCUUCGGGUUGUAAACUCCUUUUGUAGGGGACGAUAAUGACGGUACCCUGCGAAUAAGCCACGGCUAACUCUGUGCCAGCAGCCGCGGUAAGACAGAGGUGGCGAGCGUUGUUCGGAAUCACUGGGCUUAAAGGGCGCGUAGGUGGUAGUGCAAGUCUGGGGUGGAAUCCUAUGGCUUAACCAUAGAAUUGCCUUGGAAACUGCAUUACUUGAGUCAGUGAGGGGAGGGUAGAAUUCCUGGUGUAGCGGUGAAAUGCGUAGAUAUCAGGAGGAAGGCCUGUGGCGAAGGCGGCCCUCUGGCGCUGAACUGACACUGAGGCGCGAAAGCGUGGGGAGCAAACAGG